ensembl:processed_transcript
AAAGCUUGCUCUAGCUACAAACUUUCAGACACAGUUUGCUGCAGUGAUCAUGAUGUCCUUCAAGACUGCACUGGCUCUGCUUCUUCUAGCCAUGUUCAGCAUGGUUGCCGAAUCAUCAUGGGGCAACGGGAAAGGAAAUUCUUACAAUUAUGACCUUUCCAAAAUGUCUGAUCUGAGGAAACUAUACAACUCCAAAGUUUUCAAGGCAGAGAGAAUGACCAGGCCUCUGGAGGGCAUGUCUUUCCAAGUCGGCGUACUCAGUCACUCCGGAAGUGACUAUAGAAGACGGCACUAUAUGGCUGGUUCAUAAAGGAGAUGGCUAUGGUAUCUCAUCACAGACCGUUGUGGUGGCUGCCCGUCAUAUGAGCAGUAACUGGAAGAUUGUCGAGACUAAAAAUUUCGGUGGAAGCAAGACGGUAUCUGAUUUUGUGAAGGCUGGAGGAACAGACUACAAACUUUUGUUUGAUAACUGCCAUGAUGCCGCAAACCGGAUGAUGGGUGGUUAAAUAUACUAUAAAAAAACUACACUGAAGCCUAAAUGGUUUUCUUGUGAAGAGAACAUUACUUUUACAAAAAACAUUUUGUUAAUGUACCUUUUUAUUGAAUGUUUUUCAAAUGUAUGAUUGUGUAUAGAUGUGUGUUGAAUAUUAGUAUCUUUUGACGUUUUAAAAAUGUCCGACUCAAUAAUAAUGGACUUGAUAUUAAAACAUACCUGCAGGUGGCGACAGAGGUUCAUGUGUCCAUUUGCUUAUCCAGAAGGUAAACAGAUUUUAGUGAUUGAUUGUUGUAUGAAUAUUGCACAUGUACACAAUAAAAUAAGCACCUAGUUAUAAAAAGCAAAAGACACCUCGAGGCAAUUGCUUUUACUACAGUUUUUUUUUUUUUUUUACCUCUAUGUACAUGCAUGCCAUGUUUGUUUUGAGUAUGGUAUAACAAGAAAUGUCAGAUUAAUUAUGGGUGUCAGUUGUAACAGUACAAACAUCAACCUCUUUGGCAAAUAUAUGAACUAACUUCCUCCACCCAACCAGUGCUUUCCAUGAGAGUUUAAAACAUAUGCAUCGCAUGUUUGUUUUGAUUAAGCACAGUUAAGUUUAGCUUUAGGUAACAGGGAUGUAAAAAUAUAGCUCUGGUAACAAAAUCUCAUCAGACACUCACAAGCUUGAGUUUGCUGUGAGCAUGACGCCCUAUAAGACUGCACUGGUUUUGCUACUCCUGGCCAUAAGGCUUAGUGUCUGAAUACUCAUGGGGCAAAGUAGCUACAUUUACAAAUCUAUGUCCGAUUCGUUUACAACUACAUUGUUAUCAUCACCCAAGUCAAUAAAUACAAUUAAUC